GGGAAGGUGGCUCAGUGGUAGAGUACUUGCCUUGCAUGCAUGAGGCCCUGGAUUCGAUUCCUAAGUGCCCA
rfam:Dipodomys ordii contig_16639, whole genome shotgun sequence.